rnacentral:lncRNA from 1 species
ACUUUUAUAUUAUACGAGGGGAGGGCAGGUUGCUGCUUCCCCUGGUAUCCUACCUCAUAGCUGUUGUUCCACCAAACAUCAUGGCUUCUUCUUUGGUUCUGGAGUUUCCUGAGACUGUGCUGGGAGAUGGAGAGCCCUUUCUCUGUAACAGCUGACUUCACCAGGACAGUGUGGGAACGGUUUCAAAAAAUAUUCUAUGAUAAAUGUAGGCCACAUUUCUCAUGUUCAGCUCCAUGCAAGCAUAAUUUAGGAUGGAUUUCUUCAUACUUACUCAAACACAGAAACAUUUAUUGAAGAUGUUUCCAUGCAUUAUGUAUGAUUACUGUUUCCCUCCACUGUCUCUCAGAUCCUCCUAACCUCCUCAGCCAUCCAGUUCUAGGACUUCUCUCUCUCUCUAGAAAGCAAAUUGGUCAAUAAUUAAAUUAAAAGGCUAGAAAAAAAACCCAAAGCAAAUAGAAGAUGAAAAACCACAAAGGCAUGAGAAACACACAUACAUAGAGACACAUCCGCAACCACACACACACACACACACACACACCCCAUAAAACACAAAAUCAGAACUCAUAAUAGAUAAGCAGAGCUAAGGUAAAACAAAGCCCAAAGUAUUAUGAGAUGAAAUGUCAACAAAAAAACAAACAAACAAACCUGUGACUCAUUGUGUAUUAGCUAUCUGCUAUUGGGCAUAGGAACUCCCUUAAAUGUGGGUUGUAUACCAGUGAGACUUCAUUGGAGAAAACUAAUUUGCCUUUGGGAGCAGUUGUCAAUUGGAGAUAGCUUCUGGAUUUGGGAUGAGGGCUUUUUUUUUUCCAGAUUCCUUCUCAGUACUGGUACCUCAUUUGGCAUGAUUCUGUGCAGACCCAGUGUGUGCUGUUAGUGUCUGUGUGAGUUUAUAUGAGCAACAGCCUUACUGUGUCUGGGAGGCAUUGUUUCUGUGGUUAUCUUUUACCCACUUUUGUAGCGGUAAUUUUGGCUAUACCAACCCACACCCACGCCAGUUCAUUCUUGACAGUUCUGACAUGCCAUGACUAGCUCAAAGUCUGGUCACUCCUAAACCUUUCCCUGUUAGCAAACACUCCUCUCUGGUACUCCAGAGACUCCUAAACCUUCCCCUGCUACCCCGGGCCCAAUUGAGUAAGUGGUAGUGGCCACUUACCAGAAUUCUUACAUAACUGGUUGGCUUUCUUCCCUGAAGCUCUUAAGUCCCAUUCUUCUCCCAGAGUCAUGGCAAUUUUCCGUUUGCUCUUCGGUUCCGGUAUCUUAGCCUGUACCAAUCUCCAGGUCACACCUCAGUCUACCUGCCCAGUCAUUGGCUGUACGACAAUUCUUUAUUGCCAAUCAUAUCCAGCAGGUGGUGGAGACCCUCAGUGUCUGGGAAUUCGGCCUUUGGUAAGCAAAUUGAAUUGAGACAGCAUUAAAACCAAUCCCUAACACACACUGGCUCAUAAAUUCUUUCCUUCUCUUUCACACAGUUUCCUGGUCCAGUGGUAAGGUGUUUGAUGAAGACAUUCCAUUAGGAUGAAGUGUUACAAGGUCUCUUGAUUUUCUGCAUAUUGUGUACUCAUGGAUCUCUGUAUUAGUUUACAUCUACUGCAGGAAGCAACUUUUCGGAUUAUGGCUGAUUUCGACACUGGUCUAUGGGUAUAGCAGAAUGCAAAGGACAGACUUCUUGAUUGCAGGUUUCAAUUUGGUUAUCAUUAGUGCUAAGAACGUCUCUGAAACCUAUUGUAGACUUAAAAAGUGACCAUUCAGAGUGUUUACUUACUGUGCUUCACUGUAGAUACGACAGUGUUUCCUUGUUUUAUAGCAUAAUUAGAAGAUUUCUGCCUUGUACAAAAUAUAAAAAACUCCAAAGUCGUCAUGCGCGUUCGGUUUAAAUGGAAUGACAUAGUUUAUAGGACUUUGUAGUAUUGUCUUUGAAAUGAUGCCGAACUUAAAAAUAAAUCGAUUUUGUAAUGGAAUUUCUGUGUGCUGAGUCUAGCAUAGAAACCAUGUCACGCUAAUGUAGAGCUGGAAAAGAUAAGUGAUGCAUCUAAGUAUAUUUUCCUCGGUGACUACUCCUUUGGCAGCACGGGAAAGCAUAGAGAAAGUUCAGGAGUGAGCCACCACAAAGACCAAACUUCUGGUUUGUGUUGCUGAGGAAGUGCUGUAUUUUAAAACAGACACUGAGAAGAAUGGCAGACAUCUCCAUGAUUAGUUAGUAUUUUCCUUAAGUUCAGCUCAGGUCCUGCUACCAGAUACCAUUCAUCUCUUGUUAAGUUACUCAUUUGAAAUGCUCAAACUCCACCUAGGAAAGUAGUAGUUUAAUGUGGUGGCUUUUCCAGGGGAGUUGUACACCUGUUCUGAACAGAGAGGUACGUAUCAUGCUUUUGACUAUAUUCCCAGUGCUGAGGGACAAGUUGUUUUUCACAUGGGUCCUCUGAAUGUUACAGGAGAUGGUGUCCAGAUGAAAAAGAUUAUUGGUACUAAUGAGUUCUUAGUUAUAUGUCUUACUCCAUAAUUGCAUGGUUCACACUGCAGACAUUUAUUUUCUUGUAUUUGGAGAAAUGGGAAGUCCCAAAUCAGGAUACCUCUAGCUUUAAAUUUUCUGAGAAUUUCAUACAUCUAUACAAUGGAACGUGACCAUAUCUACCUAUCCCAAUUUAAUGCCUCUUUGUUGUGGUUGUUGUUGUUGUUGUUGUUGUUGUUGUUGUUGUUGUUAACCCACUGCUCAUAUAAGCAUGAGUUGUACAAGGAAAACCUAGCAGUGGGCCUAUACACACAGAGUGGCUAUCCUGCCCAAGCAACUAUGCACUGUCAAUAACUCACUUUUCUGUAGUUUUAGUUCCUGAUUUGUUAAUGGCCAUCUUCUGGUUUGUCUUUACCUAUAUGGUCUUCUCCAUAUGCAAAUGUUCUUUGUGUCUUUACCUCUCUUAAUAAGGACACUGAUUCUCUUAGACUAAGGUGCUAUCAUUAGGAGGUCAUUUACCCUUUAUUGAUUUAUCAAAAGCUUAUUAUAAAAACAAAAGCAAAACAAUGAAGCAAACAAUCAGAAAAGACAAAGCAAAACAAAGCAAAUCAAAUCAAAUCAAAUCAAAUCAAAACAAAAC